rnacentral:tRNA from 1 species
GGCGUAUUGGUCGAGAGGCUGAUGACAGCGGGUUGCUAACCCGUACUCUCCGAAAGGGGAGCGAAGGUUCGAAUCCUUCAUUCGCCA